GACGAACGCUGGCGGCGUGCUUAACACAUGCAAGUCGAACGGAAAGGCCCUGCUCUUGUGGGGUGCUCGAGUGGCGAACGGGUGAGUAACACGUGAGUAACCUGCCCUUGACUUUGGGAUAACUUCAGGAAACUGGGGCUAAUACCGGAUAGGAGCUCUUGCUGCAUGGUGGGGGUUGGAAAGUUUCGGUGGUUGGGGCUGGACUCGCGGCUUAUCCGCUUGUUGGUGGGGUAGUGGCUUACCAAGGCUUUGACGGGUAGCCGGCCUGAGAGGGUGACCGGCCACAUUGGGACUGAGAUACGGCCCAGACUCCUACGGGAGGCAGCAGUGGGGAAUAUUACGCAGUGGGCGGAAGCCUGAUACAGCGACGCCGCGUGCGGGAUGACGGCCUUCGGGUUGUAAACCGCUUUCGCCUGUGACGAAGCGUGAGUGACGGUAAUGGGUAAAGAAGCACCGGCUAACUACGUG
rnacentral:rRNA from 1 species